GAAGAUUGAUUCUUGCAGAUGUGUGGGAAGAACUUGUGGAGAGGCUCACCUCACUCUUCACAAAAGGCCAAUACAUGCUUGUUGUACUCCUGGAUGAAUUUGUAUCUCUAUAUAUAUGUUUGUAAAUGUUUCUUGUGUGGCUUUAGUGAUGCCUUCUAGGAUCCUUGUUGUAAUGGACAGAAUAUUUUGUUAGAAAGGAUAAUGGAUGAAACAACUGGGAAUUUGUGAACUGGGCCAAAUUAUGUGCCUGGGACAUCAAGAUAAUUGAGUUGUGUAAGUUUGUUGUGCUAGUUGGGCUGAUGGAUGGAAUGGAUUGUUUUUGAAUUGGGUGAAUCAUAAGCCCAAAUUUUCAUGUUGGGCCUUAUUGGGCCAGCAAAAAUAGGAUAUUGGGCCGGGCUAGACAGAAAUAAGUGGGCCAAAACAUUAUUGGGCUAGAGGCCACACUGGUGCCAUGUUGGCGCCAGGUAGAUGCCACCUCAGACCCAUGCUGGUGCCAAGCAGAUGCCAUGUCAGAAUCAUGUUGCUGCCACAUCAUGUCAAUCCUUGACGGAUUAGUCCGUCACAGAGGCCCGGGCCCGGGGCGGGCUUGUGUACUAAUCGGUGAGGUCAGGAGCCGUCAUGAUGGUGCAGUUAUCAAAUUAUGACGCGAUAUACAUGAUGGAUUCUAAAUCCGUCACAGGCCUCCCUCCAUGACGGUAUUCCACUGUUCUGUGACAGAUUGAAUCCGUCAUGGAUUAACAAGAUUCUUGUAGUGGUGGCGAGCGCGCCGACGACGCCUUGCCACCUCCUGCUUCAGCCACACAACCCCGGCCCUCCAGACGUGCCACGGAGACGCCCAGCGCUCCCUCUCGCUUCCCCUCCUCUCCCUGGACCUCACUCCCCUCUCUGCUCUCUCUCUCUCUUUCUCGCGACCGAGUGGAGCUCGUCGCCGCUGACGUGCACCACCACGGCCACCGCCUCCCCCUCGCCUCUCCGACAUACCCAGGAGCUCCGCCACCGACGCCUAUGCCUCUCUGUCAACUCACGCGAUGCCAAACACCGCCGAACGUCGUCUUCGCCUUCGUCUUCAACCUCGGGCACCCGAGCCCGUCUCCAGUCGAUUCGGCGCUGCCAGGACCUCCCCGAGCUCGCUGACCCCCUCUACGACAUCCCUGUGAGCUCCGCCGCUUUUCCCCUCUCUCCCUGCCGUCGUUCUCCUCCCUUAGCCCCACUGACCACUAUGGCCGAAGCUCGCCGCUGCCAUGCCUCGUCGCCGCCGUGGCUAGAGCCGUUGUAGCUCGAAGCUGAGCACACCACCGUGCUCAGCACGUUCUCAUGAGCCCGUAGCCACCCGCAACGCCAUCCCCCCGUGCUCUGUAGCCCCAUCUCGCUCAACACCCGAACGCCGGUCGCCGCUACGAGCUCGACUCCGGCGAGCUCGGGCCACCUCAGCCCCUGCCGUUUGCACAAGUGGAUGCGGGCGAGUCCCAGCUCCAUGUAGAUGCCCUCCGCCGGCCAUUUGGUCGCCGAAGGAGGAAUCCCGAGCCCCUCCGCCGUCUCGGCCUUCGCCGGCGACGAGCCGCGGGUCAACUUCGGCGAGUUGACCCGGGGGUUUGACCCCGUCUGACCAGGGUUUGACCACCCUGGGUCACUGACGCGUGGGGCCAGCGCUGCUAGAUAACCCAGGUUAGUGUUAAUUUAUUUAGUUAGUUUAAUUAGCCUCUGACAUGUGGGCCCAGGCCUUAACUAAACUAGAUUAGGUUUAGUUUAAUUUUAAUUAACCUUGUUAGUUAACUGUGUCACUAAUGUGUGGACCCCACACGUCAGGUUUGACCUGGACCGAGCCGUUGACCUGCUGGCAUCACUGUGAGGUCAGGCUGACGCAAUAAUUCCUUUCUGGAAUUUAAAUAAAUCUUAAAUGAUUUAUUAUUUUCAGAAAAUACCCAAAACUUCAAAAAAUCAUAGAAAUGCAACCGUAACUCCAAAUGAGAUAAUUUAUAUAUGAAAAAUUAUCAGAAAAAUAUGAAGAAUCUGUUUAUGCCACGUUCAUGCAUGUUUGAGAAAGUUAAGAUCACCAACUAGGACAAUUCAUGUUUAUGGAGUAUAUGGUAUGUAGUUUUGCAGUUGGAAUUUGCUAUAUGUUUGAAUUCCACUUCAAUUAAUAUGACUAACUGUUGCAUUAGGUGAAUUCAGUACCUUAACAUGCCAUGAUCAUACAUCAUGUCUGUUGCAUUGAAUUGAUUGUGUUCCCUCUUGGUUGCCGGUAAUUGUCCCCUCUCAGUAGACGACGUUCGGACAAUGAGAUUGAUGACACCGAUGAAGAGCUAUAAUAUCUUCAGAAGUGCCAGGCAAGCAAAACCCCCCAUGUUCAUUCCGAUACAAUCCCACCCUCUCGCUCUUGCUCUCUUUUACUGCAUUAGGACAACAACGAUUCAACUGUUACAUGCUGCGGUAGUUGAACCCCUUUCCUCUGCAUGACCUGUCAUUGCCACAGUAAAUAGAUGAAACCCACUAGUAUGAGUAGGAGUUGUUUGAGCCCUGAUGUGCCUACUCAUUCAUGCUUCUUUGUCAUGCGUGUUACUGCUUAGAGUUGAGUCAGGUCUGAUUCAUCAGGAAUGAAUUGGAACGUGGUGAACAUGUCUUACCGUGGAGAGCUAAGUGUGUGAACACGAUUUGGUAAAGCUAGCGGUGAGAGGCCAUGUAGGAGUACAUGGUGGGUUGUCUCAUUGCAGUCGUCCUUAGGAACUGAGUUAUGUGUCUGUGAUCCAUGAACAACUACUACCACUCAUUGGGAUCCUUAAUUGACCCUCUCGACUUUGUAAUCACCCUAGUACUCUGUCCAGGAGUUGCAACUAGUUUCUGGUGUUUGUAGGUUAUUUGUUGGUGGCCGUGCGUAGCACUGACCCUAGGGGUGGGCUAUGAUGCGGUAGAUACACUAUGGCAUGGUGUACCAGGCGCCCGUUUGGUGUCUCGGGAACCCUGUUCACAUCGUUCGUGGCCGUAUGUGGAAACCUUGGCCGGACUCCCUAUGGAUGGAACCUAGAUAGGCGAUAAACCUAGACUAGACACUUGAGUGUUUAGGUAGAGCCGUGGCCGACACCCUCAUUGCGCUUUCGCUCGAAGGUUGCCGAGUACAUGUCGUGUAAACAACGGUAAGUGGUUGGAGCGUGUGUGAAGAAGUACAACCCUGCAGGGUUUUCAUUAUCUAUUCGAAUAGCCGGAUUCCUCAGAUAUGGAAACUUGGACCCCUUGCAUAGUUCAUAGACAAGUGAAAGUGGAUACUCUAAAACUCGCAAGAUAAGCGUGAGUGCUAUGGAUGGCCUUCUCGUAGGGAGACAGGAGCGGAUCCAUAGUGGUGUAUUAAAUGGUGAAUAUGUGGACUCGUGUGCGCCACCUCAAAAGAGUUGCUUGCAGUCAUAGUUCAGGAUAGCCACUGAGUCAAAGCUGGCUUGCUGCAGUUAAACUCCACCACCCCCCUUGUUGAUACCGAUGCAUAUGUAGCUAGUUUUGAUGUAAGUCUUGCUGAGUACUUUUGUACUCACGUUUGCUUAAUUUAUGUUUUGCAGAGAGACUUCAGCCUCGCUAGUAGUUCCGCGUGGACUUUGAUGUUUAGCUUGAUACCUCAGCUAUGAUCUUGUGCCCUCGGCAAGAUCUGGUAGAUAGUCAGGCUUCUUAGCCUUUUUUUCAUUUGUAGAUGUCUGUACUCAGACAUGUUAAGCUUCCGCAUGUGCUUUGAUUUGUAUUAUAUGAUUGUUGGGUCAUGAGACCCAUGUUUGUAAUAUCUCGCUCCUCGGAACCUAGUGAAUAAAUACUUGAGUUGUAGAGUUAUGUUGUGAUGCCAUAUUGUAUUUACACAUAUCGAGAAUAUUGUGUGUAUGAUUGAAAUGCUUGGUAUGUGUGGGAUCCGACAAUCUAAUUGUUUAUCCUUGGCAGUCUCUCUUAUCGGGAAAUGUAGUCUAGUGCUUCCAUGAGCGAUAGUAGUCCGCUACAGCCCGGUUCACCGGAGUCCUGUUAGCCUAGCACUACUGCUCAGGACACUUGACUGGCCGGCAUGUCUUUCACUUCGUUCCUGUGUCUGUCCCUUUGGGGAAAUGUCACGCGGUGACAUCCGGAGUUCUGCCUAGCCUACUACAGCCCGGGUUCCCGGAGUCCUGUUAGCGCAGUGCUACAGCCCGGAUUCACACGCUGCUAACUAACAUGCUCGAUGUGAUUCAUGUAUGCCUGUCCCCAUAGGUUAUUGCCGCUUUUGGUUCACGAGUAGCCAUAUCGGCCCGGGUUCUCUAUCAUAUGGAUGCUAGCGACACUAUCAUAUAUGUGAGCCAAAAGGCGCAAACGGUCCCGGGCCAUGGUAAGGCGACACCCGUGGGAAUACCGUGUGUGAGGCCACAAAGUGAUAUGAGGUGUUACCGGCUAGAUCAAUGUGACUUGGAAUCGGGGUCCUGACAGCGUUGGUAUCAGAGCCUGGCUGCAUGUAGGAUUACCAAGCCAAACUGGUCGAAGUCGAGUCUAGAAAUGCUUUAGUUAUGUAAGGGAAUUGAUUGUGGAAUGGAACGUAAGGCUCUUUUUACUCCUUUACCCUAUGCCUUUCUGAUCUGAGUCAACCUCUUCUUUUCUAUGGGGAUUAAGAAUUAGGCCUUCUCAUCUAUCUAUCAGGAUGACGUGCUACUAAUCCACAAACUUAUAGAAUUGAUAGUUUCAAGCCUCAGUUCCGUUCCUACUUCUUCCGUAUGUUGACAGUUGAUCUCAGAACCUUGAUAUUGUGUUGUUGAGUGGUUAUGCCACCAUUUUUGCAGGAUGUCUCAAAUAAUUUUGAGCAUUUACAGCCGUUAUGCUGUCCGAGUCAUCCCAGGUCUCUAAAUAGUUUGAUGCAUUUGCAAAUCCCUUCUUCCCGUUCCCGAUGUCCAUUUGGGCCAGUUCAACCACACUAAUUGAUGAGUUGAGGUACUCUAUUGCCUCCACAUAUAUGUUGGAGCUAUUUUUAUGGCCAUAGGUGUUUUAGGGAGUCACCUAGUGAUCUAGCCAUGUUUUGUAUCCCAGUGUGUGAUUCUGGCCAUUAUUCUCGAAAGCAUCCCAUGAUGCCAUGUAGUAGUAGGUAUUCUAUUCCUGGGUUAAGGUAUUCUAUUCCUGGGUUCUUGAACCCGAGAUUCACCUUACUUACCUCAUGUCGAUAGUGUUUGCUAGUUCCUUAGGAUAUUAGUAACCUUUGCAUUAGUCCUCGAGGUCCGUAGUAGUUCCUUCUUCCAAAUACUACGAACCGCUUAUGGCAGAAGUUCUUUGAACCAAAAGAUCACAACCAGAGUGCUCUUGAUGAGUUCUCCAUUCUGCAUUGUGAAUCUGCUAGUCCUACCUUUCUGCAUGGGUUAUCAGGAGGAAAUAUGUUGAACUUGGUCGACAUACUAAUCUAUGCAUACACAACUUAGAAAGUUAUAUGUUCUUUUGAGUUGUCCCUCUUUAGUUGUAUUCCGACCUUCAUCUAUCAAUUGAUAGUCAAGAGUAUGUGUGUGAUCGUGUUCAUCGAUGCCUAUUAUUUUUGUGGUCCGUCAAGCCAUUCUAUGCCGGAAUGACUAGGAGAAACAAACUCCAAUACCUCAUCCAUUUCUAGGAUUGGGUCAAAGCAGUUGUAUUCCGCAGAUCAAAUGCAAUCAAGCUUUUGAUUCUGUUCUACCCUGAAGUAUUACCCACUUUAUGUCAGGAACAUCAUGAGAAUUGCACCUUCUCUUAUGAAUUCUUGAUGCAGUGAUACUCUCGCCAUCAUCGUUCAUUCCUUAGUCCCGUGUUGUUGCAACCGGAAUGCCGACAAGUGAAUCGUGAUGUGUGAAAUCAAUACCCCUAGCAACUGUGUUGCUUGGUAGUGAAUGGACAAUAUUCUCAUCCUUAGCGUGUUGAUUAUCGAAUCAUCACCCUAAGGUUUGUCGUGCUACCUAGUCCUUAUUUCUGAUGCACUUUUCGAUCAAUGAGUUAGGAUUGUGUCAGUCCCUCGCUCUCUUGUUCACAUCGUCUUGCUCUGAAAAGCAAGAUUGUUCCCAAGCUUAGAAACAUAUUGGUGGUUCGUGAUUUUCUAAAUAUUUCCUCGGAAGUAUCACCAGGUUGCCCCCUGACUAUUAUGUUGAGCUCGUGAUCAAGUUGGUUUCUUUUAAAACCAUCCCUUCUCCAAGAAUCUGUGUUGGAUACCCCGAGCUAGUUGGUUAAGCUGAACAACAACUUGGAGAAUUGGAAGAUGAAAGCUUGUCCGACUCAGUUCAUUCCAAAGGGAUAUCCUUGUGUGUGUGUUGAAUAAAGAUGAUAUUUUCAUCGAUUGUUCCUCGGGAUCGGUUGUUGAAUCUAUCUUCUUGUCCAAACCUUGAUUUGAGUGUGGGCUAUCGUCAAGUCAAAUGAGAACCAACGAUGUUCAUAAUGUUGUCUUACUCGUGGUUGUUUCCUCAAGCAUACACCGUUAUAUCUUUUGGGUUUGACCAAUGCUAUCACCUUGUUCACAUAAUUAUGGAAUUCCAUCUUCACGGAAAUCUGGAUGACCUAUUGUUGAGCCCAUCGACAAUAUUUUCAUCUUAUCCAUGAUUCAUGUUGAACAUUAAGCUAGUGAUGGAAACUUUGAAUGCAUUUCUUCAUGCUAGCUCAUGAAGCAUAUGUUUGGUAUAAGAAGUGACUUCCUCUAGUUCAGGUGCUUUUGAAGCAAGUUGCUGCCAUGAAUUUGGGAAAGUUUGUUUCGCUUCCUCUAGAAUCAUUCCAAGUCAGUCAUGCAUACGUGCGAAGUAUUCUGUGGUCUGGAGACUUGCAACCUUCAUUCUAUAUGUAUUCCUAACACACCAAGCCACUAAUUGAAUUGUUCAAGGAGAAGAAGUCCCUUCUUAAGAGCAUGCCUUAUGCAAGGACUUUAAUAUCCUCGAUGAUGGUUCCCCACCUGAACUCGAUAGUGUUUUAUUAUAAGACUACUAUGUGGCCAUUCUUGUCUUGGACAACGUGUUCACAUGUGUGUAGCAGAACCCGCUCAUCUUUUGGAGUUUACUAUCGUAGUUCAAAUCCCGAGAAUCUCGCAACAUCGUAUCGUCGGUUUGUGUUGCGAACUUCCUCUCCGGACAUGUUGUCUGAAAUAUCCCGUUACCAACCAGAUCUAAAUCUCAGGCUGAUAUGAUGGUUGGAACUUCUCCAAGAUCUAUGAUGUAGGUCCCGACAAGGUUGAUGUUCUGGCCGACGCACCUAGCCGGAGAAUCUAUCACUAUAGUAUCUUGAUUGGGCAAUUUGUCCAUCUUCUCCGCGAGGAUUUCAUGCGGCUUAUCCUAUAACUUGUUCCUUAGGGAUUCUUGUGCACUUGGUUUCCUCGAUUAAGCUAUGACCAUUCGAACGGUGGAAUCACUCUCGUUGAGUUAUUCCCAGUUACCAGAAUCAUUCCCAGCAUUUGCAUUUAUUCCCAGCUUGCACCUCAGUAAUUAAUGUUUAGGAUCAUCUUCAAAAGUGGUCCUACUAUGGGUCCCAUCCAUCCCUGAUGAUAAGCAAAAUCAUCCAUUGUGUUGUCUUCAACAAGGUAGUCCACAUCAUCCAUUCUGGUAUGGGUAUGCCAUUCUUUCGAAUUCGUUCACACAAUCAUUUGUGAAUGCCCUAGGCUGGUAUAAAGAAUUUAAAUGAUCUUGUAUCAAAAGUAAUUCUUUUUGCCACUUAAGGGAAUAGUUCUUCGAGUCACCUUCCCCGAGGUGCCCCGUUUUGGAAUCAUGGCAAUUUUCCUCGCUACUUUGAAACCCUCGUCAAAUUGUUUCUUCUAUCGCUCCUGAUGCAAGUUUUGCCUCUCAGCUCCGGAGAUGUUUCUAUGUCUCAUUCCGUGAGUUGAUCUUCUGAUCAUCAAGAUGAUCCUAAGUUGCUCGAACCUCAAGAAGAUCGAUUCUUCUAAAAAUUGUCCCUUUCUACUCGUUGUCAUGUCGGACGUAGUUCUCAAAGCAAGACGCCAAGAUCAAUAUGAUGCAAUGGAUCAAUAUAUUCGAGAAGAGCAGUUGGGUCAUGAGGAUUGCAUUAGAUUUGUGUCCCCUCUGUCUUCUUACCUCACGUCUUGAAUCUCGGGACGAGAUUCUUGUUUAGUGGGGGUGAGUUGUCACAGCCCUAGAAUAUUGCCUGUAAAUAGUUGCAUCUUCAUUCAGGUAUCAUAUUUAAAUUUCUGAAACUUGAAUUGAGGUUUGUUGAAACCCUCAGAAAUCAGUUCAAAAAUAACCAACUUUAAAAAUCUUCUCAAAUGAGUCCAAUAAAAUGUUCCUGUUAUUCCAUAGAAUUAUUGGCAAGAGCUAAAAUUCAAACCAAUAUUUUUAUGAGCUCAGAAACAUUUAUUUUGGCCAUUUGAACUAAUCCAAUAAUUAUUUGCUUUGGAUUUAUAUUUAAUAUAUAUUAAAUAUAACUUCAAUAAUUCUGGAAGUUUGUGAGUGGCUUUGUAUAUAUUUUAGCAAGACAUAUAAUAACCUACAUAAUUUAUCAAAAUGAUUUAGUGGCUAAAAGUAAUCAAAAAAGAGAGGAAAUAAAAUAGAAAACAGUAAUUAAAAUAGAAAACGGAGAAGGAGGGAGUACCUGGGCCUUACCUGGCAGAAGAGGCCCAACCCACCAGGGGCUGAGUGGUCUUCUUCCUCCUGCCAGGAGGACAGGCAGGUGCGUGGCGAGCGCGCUGACGACGCCUUGCCACCUCCUGCUUCAGCCGCACAACCCCGGCCCUCCAGACGUGCCACGGAGACACCCAGCGCUCCCUCUCUCUUCCCCUCCUCUCCCUGGACCUCACUCCCCUCUCUGCUCUCUCUCUUUCUCGCGACUGAGCGGAGCUCGUCGCUGUCGACGUGCACCACCGCGGCCACCGCCUCCCCCUCGCCUCUCCGACAUGCCCAGGAGCUCCACCACCGACGCCUAUGCCUCUCUGUCGACUCACGCGAUGCCAAACGCCGCCGAACGUCGUCUUUGCCAUCGUCUUCAACCUCGGGCACCCGAUCCCGUCUCCGGUCGAUUCGGCGCUGCCAGGACCUCCCGGAGCUCGCUGACCCCCUCUACGCAUCCCUGUGAGCUCCGCCGAUUUCCCCCUCUCUCCCCGCCGUCGUUCUCCUCCCUUAGCCCCACUGACCACUACGACCGAAGCUCGCCGCCGCCGUGCCUCGUCGCCGUCGUGGCUAGAGCCGUUGUAGCUCGAAGCUGAGCACACCACCGUGCUCAGCACAUUCUCAUGAGCCCGUAGCCACCCGCAACGCCAUCUCCCAGUGCUCUGUAGCCCCGUCUCGCUCAACACCCGAACGCCGGCCGCCGCUACGAGCUCGACUCUGGCGAGCUCGGGCCACCUUAGCCCCUGCCGUUUGCACAAAUGGAUGCGGGCGAGUCCCAGCUCCACGUAGAUGCCCUCCGCCGGCCAUUUGGUCAUCGGAGGAGGAAUCUCGAGCCCCUCCGCCGUCUCGGGCUUCGCCGACGACGAGCCGCGGGUCAACUCCGGCGAGUUGACCCGGGGGUUUGACCCCGUCUGACCAGGGUUUGACCACCCUGGGUCACUUACGCGUGGGGCCAGCCCUGCUAAUUAACCCAGGUUAGUGUUAAUUUAUUUAGUUAGUUUAAUUAGCCUCUGACAUGUGGGCCCAGGCCUUAACUAAACUAGAUUACGUUUAGUUUAAUUUUAAUUAACCUUGUUAGUUAAGUGUGUCACUGACGUGUGGACCCCACACGUCAGGUUUGACCUGGACCGAGCCGUUGACCUGCUGACGUCAUUGUGAGGUCAUGCUAAUGCAAUAAUUCCUUUGUGGAAUUUAAAUAAAUCUUAAAUGAUUUAUUAUUUUUAGAAAAUACCCAAAACAUUAAAAAAUCAUAGAAAUUCAACCGUAACUCCAAAUGAGAUAAUUUAUAUAUGAACAAUUAUCAGAAAAAUAUGAAGAAUAUGUUUAUGCCAAGUUCAUGCAUGUUUGAGAAAGUUAAGAUCACCAGCUAGGACAAUUCAUGUUUAUGGAAUAUAUGGUAUGUAGUUUUGGAGUUGGAAUUUGCUAUAUGUUUGAAUUCCACUUCAAUUAAUAUGACUAACUGUUGCAUUAGGUGAAUUCAGUACCUUGACAUGCCAUGAUCAUACAUCAUGUCUGUUUCAUUGCAUUGAUUGUGUUCCCUCUUGGUUGCCGGCAAUUGUCCCCUCUCAGUAGACGACGUUCCGACGAUGAGAUCGAUGACACCGAUGAAGAGCUAUAAUAUCUUCAGAAGUGCCAGGCAAGCAAAACCCCCCUUGUUCAUUCCGAUACAACCCCACCCUCUCGCUCUUGCUCUCUUUUACUGCAUUAGGACAACAGCAAAUCAACUGUUACAUGCUGCGGUAGUUGAACCCCUUUCCUCUGCAUGACCUGUCAUUGCCACAGUAAAUAGAUGAAAUCCACUAGUAUGAGUAGGAGUUGUUUGAGCCCUAAUGUGCCUACUCAUUCAUGCUUGUUUGUCAUGCCUGCUACUGCUUAGAGUUGACUCAGGUCUGAUUCAUCAGGAAUGAAUUGGAACAUGGUGAACAUGUCUUACCGUGGAGAGCUAAGUGUGUGAACACGAUUUGGUAAAGGUAGUGGUGAGAGGCCAUGUAGGAGUACAUGGUGGGUUGUCUCAUUGCAGCCAUCCUUAGGAACUGAGUUCUGUAUGUGUGAUCCAUGAACAGCUACUACCACUCAUUGGGAUCCUUAAUUGACCCUCUCGGCUUCUUAAUCACCCUAGUACGCUGUCCAGGAGUUGCAACUAGUUUCUGGUGUUUGUAGGUUAUGUGUUGGCGGCCGUGCGUAGCGCUGACCCUAGGUGUGGGCUAUGAUGUGGUAGAUACACUGUGGCACGAUGUACCGGGCGCCCGUUUGGUGUCUCGGGAACCCUGUUCACAUCGUUCGGGGCCGUAUGUGGAAACCUCGGCCGGACUCCCUGCGGAUGGAACCUGGAUAGGCUAUAAACCUGGACUAGAGACUUGAGUGUUUAGGUAGGCCGUGGCCGACACCCUCAUUGGGAUUCCGCUUGAAGGUUGCCGAGUACAUGUCGUGUAAAUGACGGUAAGUGGUGGGAGCGUGUGUGAAGAAGUACACCCCUAUAGGGUUUUCAUUAUCUAUUCGAAUAGCCGGAUUCCUCGGAUAUGGAAACUUGGACCCCUUGCAUAGUUCAUAGACAAGUGAAAGUGGAUACUCUAAAACUCGCAAGAUAAGCGUGAGUGCUAUGGAUGGCCUUCUCGUAGGGAGAUGGGAGCAGAUCCAUAGUGGUGUAUUGAAUGGUGAAUAUGUGGACUCGUGUACGCCACCUCAAAAGAGUUGCUUGUAGUCGUAGUUCAGGUUGGCCACUGAGUCAAAGCUGGCUUGCUGCAGUUAAACUCCACCACCCCCUUGUUGAUACCGAUGCAUAUGUAGCUAGUGCUGAUGUAAGUCUUGCUGAGUACUUUUGUACUCACGUUUGCUUAAUUUAUGUUUUGCAGAGAGACUUAAGUCUCACUAGUAGUUCCGCGUGGACUUCGAUGUUUAGCUUGAUACCUCAGCUACGAUCUUGUGCCCUCGGCAGGAUCUGGUAGAUAGUCAGGCUUCUUAGCCUUUUUUUCAUUUGUAGAUGUCUAUACUCAGACAUGUUAAGCUUACGCAUGUGCUUUGAUUUGUAUGAUAUGAUUGUUGGGUCAUGAGACCCAUGUUUGUAAUAUCUCACUCCUCGGAGCCUAAUGAAUAAAUACUUGAGUUGUAGAGUUAUGUUGUGAUGCCAUGUUGUAUUUACACAUAUCGAGCAUAUUGUGUGUAUGAUUGAAAUGCUUGGUAUGUGUGGGAUCCGACAAUCUAGUUUUUUAUCCUUGGCAGCCUCUAUUAUGGGGAAAUGUAGUCUAGUGCUUCCAUGAGCUAUAGUAGUCCGCUACAGCCCGGUUCACCGGAGUCAUGUUAGCCCAGCACUACUGCUCAGGACACUUGACUGGCCGGCAUGUGUUUCACUUUGUUCCUGUGUCUGUCCCUUCGGGGAAAUGUCAUGCGGUGACAUCCGGAGUCCUGCCUAGCCUGCUAUAGCCCGGGUUCCCGGAGUCCUGUUAGCCCAGUGCUACAACCCGGAUUCACACGCUGCUGACCGACAUGCUUGAUGUGAUUCAUGUAUGCCUGUCCCCAUAGGUUAGUGCCGCUUUGGGUUCACGACUAGCCAUGUCGGCCCAGGUUCUCUGUCAUAUGGAUGCUAGCGACACUAUCAUAUACGUGAGCCAAAAGGCGCAAACAGUCCCAGGCCAUGGUAAGGCGACACCCGUGGGAAUACCAUGCUUGAGGCUGCAAAGUGAUAUGAGGUGUUACCGGCUAGAUUGAUGUGACAUGGAAUCAGGGUCCUGACAGGAGCCGGCUGGAGCGCGAGCGGGCCGAUCAUGACGAGGUCCAGGAUCGCCUCAGCCACUUGGUGAACCAAGUUGCCACACACGUGUUGCGGCUGCGCGAUGCCUACCAUCAUGCCAACGUGAUGAUGCCGGCCGUCGGGCUAAACCCGUUCGACCACCCGGUCGACUUCAACGAGAUGCGGCUUCCUGACCUGGUCUCCUUCUUCACCUAUAUCUCCGAGGAGCUAAGAGUCUCCGCGCGAUGGUGGGGGCUGAGCUGGACAAGGAGGGGUUGCGGGCUGCCGUCACCGUUGCCGGGCGAAUCCUUUCAGGGCUCCGUCACCGGAAUCCAUUCAUGCCAUUGGAUGCCGUCUUUGAUGAGCUGGCUCCCGUCGACCGGGAGCGGGCUCUGCGGGCGGUUGCACCCUGCAUCACCAAGCCGUGCGCCUUGAGAAGCAGAGGGACUUCGGUGGUGUUUAGGCGCCCUCUGCAUGGGCAUGUCCAUGUCUUGGCGCAACAUGACCGUUGGAUCAAACUCAGAAGGUGCAGAUCAGUCACUGUAGCACCAAGCGUGUGGGUGUGUUUGCUUGCAUUCUCAUCUCAAUAUAGUUGUUUCCUCUUCGUGUAUUUGUUACAUAUAGGAGUAGUUGACAUGCGCACAACAUCAUUUGUUAUCGUCAUAUCUUACUACACUAGCAACAAGAUUGUGUAGUACUGACGUAUGAACCACUUCACAUGCCUAGUAGUAGGAGCACUGUGUAUGUUCAAGUGGCUGCCGUGUUUCGCACUCCUCCAUCGUAAGAGUGGAAACGCUUGCUGUAAUCAUUUUUUCUUUUGAAAAACAGUGGACAUGCUCUACCGUGCGGAUCCUCCUCCAGCCAUGCACUAAAUUACUCACUUUCGCCGACAUGUGGGACAGCCAGCAUCGGGGUCCACCAGCCAUACACUAAAUUACUCCGUAGUAGAGUGAUGGUAGACUACCCCGAUCGAAGCGCCACAGUAAUGCCCAAUGAGCCGUCAAAUCGCAAAAACCCCUCCUCUCGAGCAGUAAGUUGGACGGACGAAGCAACCAUCAUUUCACUCUUCUCUCUCAGCUUCCUCUCUACCCAACCCUCGCUUUUGCCUCAUCUUGUUCCUCAUUUCUUCAAGAAAACCCUGACCUGCUUCUGCCAUUGUUCUUCUCUCCCAAAGAAGGAAAGGUGAGCACAUCAAUGGUGUUGAUUCUGGCCAAGGCCCGGCCUUGCAACCCCGAGACUUAUCCUAUAACUCCCUCUCUUUUCUUCUUUUGGGUUUGUGAUUAUGGUUUCUUUUCUUUUAUUUCUAUUUGACAGUUUCUUGAUGGACGCUGGAGCACCAGCCAAGUGAUGUCUAUGGCUCCGGCCAAAACCGUCGAGGCUCAUGGUACGAAGAAGUGCAAGCACCCUGCCGAGACUACCGCAGACAAGCUCAAAGCCAUCACCCUGUCCAAGCCCCCCUGUCCGGGAUCCCUCAUUAAGCAAGUCCAGGUAAUAUCUCUUCUUGACGAUCUUUUUCUCGAUCUUGAUCGUGUUUUUUCAUCUAACACGCAGUACUAGUACUACUAGUACAACUUUCUGGGUGAUCUUGCAUGUGAUUUUUGUGUGCCAAAUGACGGCUCUAAAUUCCUCUUUUGACCAAAACAUGCGAGAGGUUGACACUGAUUUCUUAUAGAUUACUUUCAACUACUCCCUCUGUCCCCAAUUUCUUGUCUUAGAUUUGUCUAGGUACGGAUGUAUCUAAUACUAAAAUGUGACUUGAUACAUCCGUAUCUAGACAAAUCGAAGACAAGAAUUUUGGGACAGAGGGAGUACUUUAUGAACAUCAAUGCUACCUUUUAAGAGGGUAUAUUUGCCUCAGUAACUUGUGUUAUGGAUUUUGCAUGUAAUCCCUCUGCUCUCAUGCCUUUGAAGACAUGUUCUAGUGUCUUUGUUCACUCAUUUCUGUGCGUAUAUGUAGUCAUAUAUGGAGUAUAAUAUCGAAAAUCACCUUAUAUUUCUGAACGGAGGUAGUAAUAAAAUAUGGUUUUUGUUUGAAUUAGAACCAGGUCCGCGGUGGAGAUGAAGUUCUCAAAGUCAUGUCGUGUGAACUGGAAGACCUGAUGAUGAGUUCUACUGCUAAACUAUCCAGCUGUUGUGUCCUUGUCACCAUGUGUCCUGAACUAGUGUUUUCCUGUAGCAUUGUUGUCAAGCGUGUUCUCGAGGUUGUACUUGACCACAACAAUUUCCUGGCCGUGCCUUCGAUUACGAAGGGUGUGGUUCUUGUAAAGCUUCCCAACAAAUCUGAUGCGGCCUAUCUUCAUCAUCAUGUUUAUGAGUGGAAAGACCACUUUGUUAGGUUCUCCAAGGUUGACAAGAUGGUGAUGGUGCGUGUAGACAUCUCACACGAAGUCCAUGGCCUAGUCACUUAUGCAGGGUUCAUCCCGUAGGUCGGUGGCAAGAAAUAGUUUGCAGAGUUUAGUUAGUGCAACUUUGUUUGUCUGUAGUAAGUACUAUUGUUCAGUACUUGAUUUGUGUUUGUGAACCCUGUAUUGUUUAUUAGUACUACCGCUUUUGGUGUGUGGUUAGUCCUGAGAAUGGUCUAUGUUAAUGUCUAUCCACUCAAUUCAGUCCGUAUAUUUUGAAGUAUCCAGAUCAUAUUUUUUGUGAGGACGGUUUAUCAAUUAUGGUUACACUCCAAUAUCUGUAUGCAUUGCAGGGUUUAUCACACCCACCAGGAUUUCCAGUCCCAUGGAUAUUCGGUCCAUACGAUUUGUCACGACCUUUGGACUGUCCUGCUUGUGGGAGUAGGCAGGGCCCCUGCAUGCCACGCGUAGUUGAAUGAUCAAUCUUCUGUUUAGUACUUCAACAUAGUGAUUUCCUGGUAAGGAUUCACUCAUGUCACAUCAAGUAAAUCUUAUUGAUUUACUGUCUAAAUCUUAUUGAUUUAAUGUCAUGUUUUCUUUCUUUUCCUGCAAUUUUACGAUGCAGGUUUUUCCAUGUGACAUUCAUCACAGAAUAAACCGUUUGGUUUUCUCUACGAUGGCUAUUUUUGCAGGUUUCACUUCUAAUGUCGUGUCAGUAACGAAGGCACUAUCCAUCACUUAUAUUACUGGAAAAAAUUAGAUCAGUCUGUUGUCUGAGUACAAGCUGAAUCCCUAUGAUGAAAUGCAGUUUGGUUUAACAAAAAUGCCACAAUUAGUCCUUCUCGCGUUUAAAAGAAAUGAAGAAAAAAACUAGAUCACGGUCAUGGAUCCUAGUCAAGUUAGAAAGCUGAUCAUAGCAGACCAGACAUGAUCGCCGCUGUCUCGCACAGAUCGAGGACCGGCAGUUGCUCUAGCACUGACAGCGGCAACAGCUCAGUCUGAUCUACCGGAGCAUCGGGCAUCGACACCGGCACCUGCUCCGACACCAGCACCAGCUCUACAAGGAGCACCAUCUCCGGCAGCAGCAGCGGCUUCGGCACCUGCACCAAUACUUGCACUUGCAUCUGCUCCGGCCCGUGCAGUUGCACCGGCAACAGACUAGGCUGCAGUUCGCACUUCAUAUACCAAAGUCCUUACAAAAACCGACAUGUCCACCUUCUUGGUAAGCAUUGGCCGCCCAAGUGCUCCGUUCUUUUUUCUUUCCAUGUUGUUUCACAUGAUUCACUGUGUUGAUCUAACUGUUUGGGUAUGUCUUCUUGUUUGCAAACAGAGAAUUCCUAGAGCAACGAGUGAGUCGUUCAACAAUCCGGGCGACCGCGGCCAAGUUUCUCUUACCAUGCGCAGCCUUGGUGUGAAUGAACCUGCUCAAUAUACCGUAAGUACAAAGGAUGGUCACAUGAUGAUUGAUGCUAACGGAUGGUCAAGGUUCAAAUCUAAAUCAUAUCUUGCGGUAGGGGAUGAUGUCAAAAUCGAACUUUCUUGGCAAGGAGAGCUGGUCCAAAUCAACUUUGAAAUUAGCAGCACGCAACUGCCGAAAUGAUCUAUCCUCCGAGAGAUUUUGAUGUAAUAAUCUGGCAUGGUGAAACAAGUGUCCUGUGUGUAUAAGUAGUACGACAGUAUUAUUUAUCACAUGGUAUAUCAUUGAUAGAAUUGCAACUCUGAUUGCUGGUUAGGAACUGUAGUUCGAUUUCAUUCCAACAACUAUCGUGCUUUAUUCAAUUUUGUGUAUUCGCCUUGCGACAGCAUCUAAAACUAGCGCUGUACCGAUCGCUUGCAAUAUGAAAAGCGCUGAGGUAGAACACAUGGGCCCCCAAACAUGCAGGGUCGGCCUGUGGCCCAAAGUCCAGAACCGUGAGCCUAUCAGAGUAUUAUAUUCUUAGCUAAACCCCCAUAAAAAAGUUGAACCCCCAUAAUGUCCGUGCGUUGCAGAGGGAGUAUAUUUCUCGGCAAGGUGAGCCUGUGAUAUAAAAGAUUUGUAUAUUUCUUUACAGAGGGAGUAUUUCUCUGUCAAAAAAUAUAUUUAUGUGUAACUAGUUACUCCUGUCUUUCUACUUCCUUUCGCUGAUAUGUGGGGCAACCGGCAAUGGGGUCCACGUGCCAUAUGCACAAAUUAGAGUGCACAACUUAACGGUAGACACACCCCGGUCGUAGCGCCAUAGUAAUGCCCAAUGAGCCGUCAAAUCGCAACCCCCCUUUCCAUCUUUAGCAGUAAGCAGGACGGACGAAGCAGCAAUAUUUCACUGGGCCUGAAUCCCCUUCUACCUCGUCUGCUUGUUCAGAGAAAACCCCCUCUCGGCGAUUGCAUAGGGUUUUCUCAUGGAGAACUAGGUACGAAUUCUUCAUCCAUCCCCGAUAAACCCAAGUCCCUUGGUCGCAGGUAAUCCUAGGAUGGCAGCCGCCGUCGUUGAUGCAUUUUUCUUCCUACUGAAUCUAGUGUGUUUAAUUUGUAGUGCCCAAAGUGCGAGUACCGUACAGGUUUCUGCGCCCUCGGUGAGACGCCACACUUGUUCCUUCUCAUCCUAACAUAGCAAUUUGUAAUGCGCACAGUAUGUUCCUAGAAUCCUCUUUUCUAUCCGGGAGGGUGGGGUUUUUUUGAACAUGCUGUGUUCUCAUAUUAUUUUUCCUGCAGUGUAUUAUUUGCUCUGCAAGAACACAUGUACUCAAGAUGCUUGGCCUUGCCAUAACUGAAUACACUAGUUUAAUGGUCACAGUGAAGACAAGCCAUGUAUAUAAGUUCCGAGUUGGGUUCAUGAACCAAGAAGAUCGCUGCUUUUUUAUGGCCGAACUUGGAUAAACAUUCUCAAGUGUUACAGACUGAAAGUUGGCGCACAAAUGUUGAUGGAAAUAGCAGAACCUGGUCUCAUCUUCACUACGAUCUUCCACCCCGAUGUCGUUCCAAUUGUUCAUCCAUGUUAGUUUUGUAUCUGGUUCUUGCUUGUUGCCUCGAUUACUUCUUAAUCCACCUAUUCUGUCUAACUAAUCACAAUUUAACUUUAGAAGUAGCAACGAAUCUCUCACGAAGAUGCUACUUCUAACUAAUAUUUUCUUAUAAUUGGUGGCACGUGUAGGUUUUUUCAGAGUUAAGCAGUCUGCUCGUUUGUUACUCUGUAAUAACUCGGCUAUUACGAAUGGCACUGAAGUUGACUGGAUCGACAUCCACAAGUUCCUACACUUUAUUGAUCAUCUUGAGGUCCUUGUGGGGCAUUUCAAUGGUGGAAGGCCACGUGGGAUAUGUGUGCCACUGCUGCACUCGUUGAAGAGGUCCAACUGUAUCGAGAAACUUAUGGUAUGAGCUAUUUUCUGUUAUAUAUGUUGUUCAUAAACUAUUGCUUAUACACAGUUUUACAGCUGUGAUCUUCUUGAAACAGGAACUGCCGAGUUCUAUUGUUCCUAUACAGAUGCCUGACCAUGGUCGGGUCAGACUUGCGCUUGGUCACAACAGGAUGUAUAUGUCGACCUACUCAAUUCCCCUUGGAGGUGAAAAGAUACUUAUUCAUGGGUGGUCUCAAAUAAUGAAGGCCCGUCCAUCUUGGAGAAUAGGACAGAAGAUUAUGUUCAUGCUUUUCCAUGGCUCUAAAGCGAAUAUCCUUAUUGACCACGUUGUGAGAUGAAGCCGCUUUUAGAAGGUUGUGGAUGCACGGGGUGGCGCCUGGGCCUUGUCCUGGGGCUUGGCGGCCUCACCCUUGGUUAACUGUAGGCAAAGUAGCACUGUUCGAGGCGUGCUUUGUACGAUUGAACCUGUAUAAGUACUCAUACUUCUUUCAGCUUUGGUUGUUAAGUGCCCCUGCUGGUUUCAGUUAAGAUUGUUAAGUAAUCCUGCUGCUUUUACAGUCUGUCGUGUUUCUUCAGUCUUGUCUUCAUCCAGCCGCCAAAACCAAACCAGCGCCGGCGGGGCCGCCUGCUUCCGCCUCCCACGGCUGGCUGCGCCUCAGCGCAUGCAUCGCCGCCCCAUCGUCUCCUAAAUCGUUAACGCUGACGUCCUCCGCGUGCUUUGGUGCGCUCGCCACGGCGCCGCCCUCUCGCAUUGUCAACAUGGUGAACAAACAACGGGAAUCGGCAGAAGUACGUGGAGAGGAUGACAGUAGGGGCCCACCACGUCAGCAUAUGGAAAAAUAAAAUGCUUCCUCCUAGUGUUUUUCUGACAUCUGGGACCCACGACAUUGUGAGCAUAUAUAGUCAAUAGACAAGAGAACAGCACAAGAUCGGCUGACACCUGGGACGUAGCUACUCGAGCAGUAUUUUUUUGUUUGGUAUUGUUGAGACGAAGCAGGGUUUGAACUGGGCUGUGGCCCGUCUAGCCCAGGCUUAUAUUUUAUGUUCAUCAUGUGACCAGCCCAGCUAUUUUUUCUUUGUGAAAAUGAGCCCAGUUUAUUUUUUCUGAAGAAUACCCAAUCCAUGCCUACUUAUUUUUCUACGCCCUGAUGGGCUGCAACUCUUUCAAGAUGCCUGUAAAUCUUGAAAGUAAUAUGAAAUGGGAUGUAAAUAUAAAAACAGAUGCCAAAUUGACAAUUACUUUAUAAUUUCUGAAUUUUAUCACAUUUUCAGAUUCCUAUUUCACUGGGCAUUAACCUAAUUUAAAUAUAUCUUCAAAGUACUUUAAAUCUGGCUGGACAUUUCGGUAUUAAAAAUAGUUUGGAACCCACAGAAAUAUGUGAAAUUGGCCCUGGCCAACCAAAAAAACGACUGCAAUAAAUUGCAUAAGAAGUUUCCAUGAGCUAUAUAUAAAUUAUUAUAUAUAGCCCUGGUGCGCUCGGCGCGGCGUGGUCAACAUGGUCAAGGAACGGCUUCCAUCGGACGUGGACUGUACGUGGAGAGGUUGACAGCUGGGUCCACGGCCGCAGCAAGGAAGUGCCUCCUUAUUACGUGCAAAAUAAUUAUUCCUCCACUUGACAGCGGGGACCCACCGGACGGGCCACCAGUAUUUUGUGAAAAAAAUUGUUUCCCCCUGACUACUGGGACCCACCGGACGGGCCAUCGUAUUUCGUGAAAAAAACGUUCCCCCCGCUGUCAGCUCGGACCCACCGGAAGUGCCUCCUUAUUACGCACAAAAAAAUGAAUACUCCCCCGGCUAGCUGGGACCCACCUUGGUGGGAGGCUAACUUGUGGGCCUACUAAGUUGACGGGGACGAAGGGCUUUGUCAACUUAGUCAAUAUGAACGAUUCUAGCUCCAUUGACCGUACGAUGUCCAUCCAACGGCCGUAGUGCUUCUUCAACCUCUGGUCUUCUUGCUCCAGCUGCCCAAAGAAGCGCCGGUCGUGCCGCAUGCUCCUGCCUCCCGUGGACGACUGUGCUGCCGCGGAGGCCUCACCGCCCCCUACUAUUCCCACCGCUGGCCAGGCCGUGCGGCGACGGCAGCCUCACACCGCAGUCGAACCAGUGAACCCUCAUACUCCUCUCCGCGCGCGCGGGCUUCCACUUCCGCGUCUUCCCCAGCUCCCCGUCGUCCCCUUCCUAGGCCUCGCCAUCGUCCACCGCCCUGGUGCUCUCGGCGCGGCGUGGUCAACGUGGUCAAGGAACGACUUCCAUCGGACGUGGAGUGUACGUGGAGAGGCUGACAGUUGGGUCCACGGCGGCAGCAAGGAAGUGCCUCCUUAUUACGCGGAAAAUAAUGAUUCCUCCACCUGACAGCAGGGAUCCACCGGACGGGCCACCGUAUUUUGCGGAAAAACGUUUACCCCCUGACUGCUGGGACCCACCAGCUACACCUUCACACGCAAGGAAGUGCGUCUGGGCAAAAAAAUGAUUCGCCCCACUGACUGAUGGGACACACCAGCUACAUCUUCGCACGCAAGGAAGUGCGUCGGGGCAAAAAAAACAAAAUGAUUCGCCCCCCUGACUGCUGGGACCCACCAGCCCCCCGACUGCUGGGACCCACCAGCCCCCCGACUGCUGGGACCCACCAGCUACAUCUUCCCACGCAAGGAAGUGCGUCCGGGCAAAAAAAAUGAUUCGCCCCCUGACUGCUGGGACCCACCAGCUACAUGUAGCAGGCAAGGAAGUGCCUGACAGUCGGGACCCACCUGGUUGAAGCGUAUGUAGUGCUGACAUUCUGGUCGCGAACGUGUACGUACAUAUUGGUCGAUGUAGAGGCGUGCACGUGUCGUAGUAGAGCUGCGCACGUGUGUUAGUAGAGGCGCGCAUGUAGCAUGUACACGUACGUACAGCGGCCAGGGUGCAAGAAAGAAAAUACAGCCACGUAGGUGUACAUACGGGCGGGGUCUCGAACGCCUACUCGCGCAUACGCACGGUGAGGGCUCGUGUACAUGGCUGGGUUGGAACGGAGAAACAGCGUCGUCGUCGUGUUCAUGGGUCGGAACGGAAUACGUAGUCAUGUUCAUCGGGAGGGCUUGGACGGAAGUGGCGAUGGAAACGAGGCCUGGCGUACCGCACAACGGAGGAAACGAACCUCCUACGUUCGAAAUGGGGGUCCUAUCGAUCGGGAGGGGUGUGGCGUACCGCAAAACGGAGGAAACGGACCUCCUUCGGUCGAAACAGGGGUCCUGUUGAUUGGGAGGGGUGUGGCGUACCGCAAAACGGACGAAACGGACCUCCUACGGUCGAAACGGGGGUCAUGUUGAUCAGGAGGGGUGUGGCAUACCGCAAAACGGAGGAAAUGGACUUGUGUUGGAGCGCUACGGUCGAAAUGGGGGUCCUGUUCAUCAGGAGGGGUGUGGCGUACCGCAAAACGAGACUCCACGGGAUACUGUUCAUCUCCACCGUCGAACCCCUCCAGCCUCCACGAGCUACGGUUCAUCCACCGUCGACCUCCUCCAGCCUCCACGAGCUCCUGUUCAUCCAGCCUCCACCGCGCACUACUCCACCGGCUACUGUUCAACCAUCCCUCCACCGUCUACUGUUCAUCCAGCCCUCCACACCAUGGGGUCCUGUUCAACCACCCCUCCACGGGCACCCCUCCACCGUCUACUGUUCAUCUUGCCCUCCACACCACGGGGUCCUGUUCAUCCACCCCUCCAUCGUCUACUGUUCAUCCAGCCCUCCACCACACCACGGGGUCCUAUUCAUCCAGAGGCAACGCCACCGCUCACUAUUCAUCCAACCGCCCCGGAACGCUCACUAUUCAUCCCAUCGAUCGGCUUUAGUUAGCAGCAGUAGCCAAGGAAUCGCUCGAUCGGGUUCAGUUAACAGCCAUCGAUCGAUCGCUCGGGUUCAGUAACGCGUAGCCUGCAGUGCAAUCGCUCGGGUUCAGUUAGAGCCCAACGCCUCGCUCGGGUUCAGUUAGAUCCAACGCCUCGCACAUACGCGCGUACGUGUACAAGAGAAACGCGCAUCGCUCGGCCCCGACCUCCCACCGUAACCAGGAACUCCCCGAAAUUUUCCUCCCCUCGCUUCUACCAUGGUUUUUUCCGUCAUGGACGGCCCAAAGAAUGUCAUGUAGCUGCGUCUCCGGCCCGCCCAGGACGAAAAGCCCAUUUUCUGUCAUGAUUUUUUGUCAUAGAAGUAGGAGCCCACCACAUCUAUGAUGAUACCGGGUUUUGUCACAAUUAUCGUCAUAGAAGUGUCAUAUGUAUGACAGAAAAAAAA
rnacentral:lncRNA from 1 species